rnacentral:rRNA from 1 species
GACGAACGCUGGCGGCGUGCUUAACACAUGCAAGUCGAGCGGUAAGGCCCUUUCGGGGGUACGACGAGCGGCGAACGGGUGAGUAACACGUGGGUGACCUGCCCUCAGCUCUGGGAUAAGCCGUGGGAAACCGGGUCUAAUACUGGAUAUGACUCCAUGACGCAUGUUGUGGGGUGGAAAGCCUUGUGCGGCUGAGGAGUGGGCCCGCGGCCUAUCAGCUUGUUGGUGGGGGGAU